GGUCUGUAGCUCAGUGGUAGAACACUUGCCUAGCAUAAGCAAGGCACUGAGUUCAAUCCUCAGCACUCCA
rnacentral:tRNA from 1 species